GCCAACACCCAGGGAGCGGCCACUCCGGGCCAGGCCCUGGGCCAAGGGCUUACAUGUGCCACACCUCAUCUAAUCGCCACAUCAGUCCCAUGAGGGGAAGCAUCUACAACUGUCUGCUCUCUCCGGCUAAGAGUUAACUUCCCUCUGUCUGGCCAGACCACUCCACACACGCCGUUGUUCCCUGCCCCGCUAUACCACGUUCAAGCAGGCUUGCAUACAGAUGAAGUGGCUAGCAUUCCAAUAGCCAUCUUAGACUCUGAGCGUCCUUGGAAAUGAAAACCAAGUAUAGCAGAGCAACAAAAUAAAAAAACCUCAGUCCAUGACACCACGGAGUGCCAAACCAGAAAACCUCUGGGCUUCCUCCACUUGAGACAGAAAUCUAUUUCUAUUUUAUUUAAGUUACCAUCAUUUGGGGAUUUUCUGUUUCUUGCAGCUGAACAUAAUCCUAACUAAAAUGACAGAAAGUUAUA